AUUGAACGCUGGCGGCAUGCCUAACACAUGCAAGUCGAACGAGUGGCGUACGGGUGUGAAAUGUCUGGGACACUUCCUGAUGGAUGGGUACACCUACUGGAAACGUUAGCUAACUCCGCCUACCAUCGGAUGUGCCCAGAUUGGAUUAGCUAGUAGGUGGGGCAAAGGCUCACCUAGGCGACUAUCCGUAGCUGGUCUGAGAGGAGGACCAGCCAAACUGGAACUGAGACACGGUCCAGACUCCUACGGGAGGCAGCAGUGGGGAAUAUUGCACAAUGGGCGCAAGCCGGAUUCAGCCAUGCCGCGUGUGUGAAGAAGGCCUUCGGGUUGUAAAGUACUUUCAGCGGGGAGGCGUUACCCGCAGAAGAAGCACCGGCUAACUCCGUGCCAGAAGCCGCGGUAAUUC
rnacentral:rRNA from 1 species